GGGGGCUUUCAUCAAGGUUAGUGUUUCUAUAGGUUGGGGGCUUUCAUCAAGGUGUUUCUUUAGGUUGGGGGCUUUCAUCAAGGUUAGUGUUUCUAUAGGUUGGGGGCUUUCAUCAAGGUGUUUCUUUAGGUUGGGGGCUUUCAUCAAGGUGUUUCUUUAGGUUGGGGGCUUUCAUCAAGGUUAGUGUUUCUUUAGGUUGGGGGCUUUCAUCAAGGUGUUUCUUUAGGUUGGGGGCUUUCAUCAAGGUUAGUGUUUCUAUAGGUUGGGGGCUUUCAUCAAGGUUAGUGUUUCUUUAGGUUGGG
ensembl:lncRNA